rfam:Salmo salar isolate Sally breed double haploid chromosome ssa18, whole genome shotgun sequence.
UUCCCUGUAGCUCAGUUGGUAGAGCAUGGUGUUUGCAACGCAUGGUGUUUGCAACGCCAGGGUUGUGGGUUCGAUUCCCACGGAUGAAA